UACAGAGGGGGCAAGCGUUGUUCGGAAUUACUGGGCGUAAAGGGCGCGUAGGCGGCCUGCUAAGUCGAACGUGAAAUCCCUGGGCUCAACCCAGGAACUGCGUCCGAUACUGGUUGGCUUGAAUCCGGGAGAGGGAUGUGGAAUUCCAGGUGUAGCGGUGAAAUGCGUAGAUAUCUGGAGGAAUACCGGUGGCGAAGGCGGCAUCCUGGACCGAGAUUGACACUGAUGAGCGAAAGCCAGGGGAGCAAACGGG
rnacentral:rRNA from 1 species